CGGGAUAUGGCGCAGUUUGGUAGCGUGCCAUCUUGGGGUGAUGGAGGUCGCAGGUUCGAAUCCUGCUAUUCCGA
rnacentral:tRNA from 1 species